rnacentral:tRNA from 1 species
GGCCCGUUAGCUCAGUUGGUUAGAGCGUCGUGCUAACAACGCGAAGGUCGUGGGUUCGAUCCCCCCACGGGCCA